GAGAGUUCGAAAGAGAGGGAGUUCAUACAUUCAUCUGAGUGAAGAGAAAAUGACCUAACCGAACCAUCUAGAAUGCCUACUACUCAUGAUAUAUUGGGCUGCCUUAUUAUAUUGGGUCAAAGAAAUGAAAGUGGGCUAAUUCUGUUGCUGGCCCAAAAACAAGAUAUUAAUAAAAAAAGGAUUACAAGCUAAUUAAAUAAAAAUGUACAAAAAAUCAGUGUUUAUGCUUGGGUUUAGAGGCUAAAUAGUCCAUUAGCCCAACACCCCCCCUCAAGUUGAAGGGGGAAACCACCUUCAACUUGCCCAAAAAGAUCAUGAUGAACAAUUCCAGGAAAAUCUUUGGUGAGAACACCAGCUAACUGUUGAGAAGUGGAAACAUGAGAUAGAGAAAUCAGCCCAUCAGAAAGCUUAGUCCGGACAAAAUGACAAUCAACCUCAAUGUUCUUGGUCCGCUCAUGAAAAACUAGAUUCCUGGCUAUAUGUAAAGCAGCCUGGUUAUCAAAAAAUACAUAAAAAGGAAGAGACAUAGAAACACCAAGGUUAGUGAGUAGUCUGGAAAACCAAGACAAUUCAGCAACCACCUUGCUAAGAGCCCUGUACUCUGCUUUAGCAGAAGAUAAGGACACCACUAGUUGCUUUUUGGACUUCCAACUUACCAAGCUACCCCCUAAGAUCACACAGAAACCAGUGACAGAUCUGCGAGUAUCAGGCAAGCUGCCCAGUCACUGUCUGAAAAGGCAUGUACAGAAAAAUCAGGAGACUUAGAAUAGAAAAGCCCCAAAUCCAUAGUGCCCUUAAGAUAUCUAAGAACAUGCAGGGCCAACAGACAUGUGAGGUAUUCUAGGAGACUUCAAGAACAGGCUCAAAUGUUGUACAGCAAAGAAAAUAUCAUGUCUGUUAUGUGUCAAAAAUAGAUGCUUCCCAAUUAGGCUUCUAUACAUGUCAGGAGAAGGGAACAGAUCACCAGAAUUAGCAUGUAGUUUGGUGUUAAGGUCUAAAGGACAAGUUUGAGGAGAAACUGCAUGACAGUUAAAUUGCUGUAACAAGUCAGAGACAAAUUUCUUCUGAUUAAGAAGUACCCCACCAGGAACAGUAGACACCUCAAUUCCCAGAAAAUAAUGUAAAGACCCCAGGUCUUUAAUUCUAAACUGAUCAUCCAAGAAAUGUUUAAGGGCAGAAAUUUCAGUUGUAUCAUCUCCAGUGAUAAUGAUAUUAUCCACAUAUACUGCCAGCAGUAUAAGACAGCCAAGCUGACCCUUUAUAAACAAAGAGUAAUCAUUCAGAGAGUGGAUAUGACCUCUGGAAUUCAUAGAUUGAGACAAUUUGGUAUACCAUUGUCUUGAGGCAUGUUUUAACCCAUAGAGUGACUUCUUCAAUUUGCACACAAAGGGAGUGGAAACAUAAGAGACAGUAGGAGCAGAAAUGUUCAAACCUGGAGGUAGCUUCAUAUACACUUCCCCAUCUAGGUCACCAUGAAAGAAGGCAUUGUUGACAUCAAGUUGAAAAAGAUCCCAAUGUUUCUUAACAGCUACAACAAUCAAACAUUUGACAGUAGACAUCUUAAUCACAAGGGAAGUUGAAAGAGAUCCCAGUGUUUCUUAACAGCCACAUCAAUUAAGCAUUUGACAGUAAACAUUUUAAUCACAAGGGAAAAUGUUUCUGUGAAAUCAACCCCCUCAAUCUGGGUGUCUCCUCUAAUAACAAGCCUAGCUUUAUACCUUUCAACACUGCCAUCAACUCUAUAUUUUAUCUUAUAGUCCCACUAGCAACCUAUGGGUUUCUUACCAGGAGGAAGGGAAACAACAUCCAAGUGUGGUUGGCAUCCAAUGCAUCAAACUCCUUUCUCAUGGCAUCCUGCCAAGCUGGAACUGUGGCAGCUUGAGAAUAGUAAAAAGGUUCAGAUUCCAGAUUGGAAGUAGAGGAAGAAGAUCCAAAAAAAGAAGGUAGUUGACACACAUAGUCUUUGAGAUAAUAAGGAGUGGUGUGUUGCCUUCCAGAUCUUUUGUUGAUAUGAGGUUGUGUAGAGGAAGAAAUAGCAGGAGGUGGAAUAUCAAGAUUAAAGGAUGGAGAAGGAAGAGGUUCAGAAGGUGUGGAGUCAGAAGCAAAAGAAGGAUCAUAGCUGGAAGCAGAAGAAAAAUAGUCAGAAGGAGAGGGAACAGGUGAACAAGGUGGGACAGAAAUGUGUGUCCCAGAAUCUUGGUUAUCAGAAAAAGGUACAAUAGGAGGUGGAAAAGAAAAUAUAGCAGAACCAGAGGUAAUAUCAGAAUUAGUUGCAAAAGGGAAAGAUGUCUCAUGAAACACAACAUCCCUAGACACAAAACAUCUUUUGGAAACUAGAUCAUACAACUUGUAAUCCUUUUUGGCAAAAGGAUAUCCUAUAAAAACACAUGAAAGUGCUCUAGGUUUUAGUUUAUUUCUCUAUGGAAUGGGGACAGUAGCAUAAGCAAGACAACCAAAUGCCCUCAAAUAUGAGUAAUUAGGAGUCUUACCAUAUAGCACUUCAUAAGGGGAUUUGUUUUGAAGAAUUCUUGAUGGAAUCCUAUUGAGCAGAUAUGUGGCAGUUAAUAAACAGCCCCCCCCCCCAAACUGAUACAGGCAGUUUGGACUGAAAAAGUAAAGCUCUACAAGCUUCAAGAAGUGUUCUGUGUUUUCUUUCAACAACACCAUUUUGUUAGGGAGUGUGGGGACAUGUAGUUUGAUGGAUAAAACCCUGUUGAUUGAAGAAAGAAGCCCCAUCAAGGCUGGACCUUAAUUCCAAGGCAUUGUGACUUCUUAUAGUUUGAAUAGUAGCACCAAACAGAGUUUUAACCAUGGACAGGAAGGACUUAAUCAUGCAAAAAUCAUUGCUCUUAUAUCCCAGUAUAUGAUUCCAGGUGGCCCUAGAAAAAUCAUCAACUAUUGUAAGGAAAUAUCUUGAUGCAGAGGAAGUUGCUGUGUGGUAAGGACCCCAAGUAUCUACAUGAAUUAAUUGGAAAGGUCUGCUUGUAUUGAUGGAACGAUCAGGGAAAGGAAGCCUAGUUUGCCUAGCCAUAGGACAAAUAGAACAAGGAAAUGAUUGUUUAGAAGCAAAGGAAAGAGACAAGGCAGAAAUUUGUUUCAUAUUUGCAAAAGGAAUGUGAGCAAGUAUUAAGUUCCAAUUGAAGUUCAUGUCAUUUCCAUUAGCAUUAUUACAAAUGGAGUUAUUUACAGUGAAAGGCAAAGGAACAGCUUUAGAGCUAGAGGCACAAACAAAAUUAUAAGAAUCAGAAUAAGAACACACAGAAACAGGCUUGCAAUAACUAGAAGAGGAAUGUGAGGGUGGAAUCCAAGCAAGCUUGUACAGACCAUCCUCCUCCUUACUAUGAUCCAGAGGCAUCCUCAGAGAAGGGGCCUGUAACAUGUGAAGAAAACAGGAAGUUGCAGUAAACAAGACUAUACAGUGCAACUGCUUUAUCAGUUUGUGGACAGAGAUUAAGUUGAAUUUGAAAGAAGGAACAAACAACACAUUAUGAAGUGUGAUAAAUGGGGUUAAAGAAAAGGAUCCUGUGGAGAUCACUUUUACUUUGUAUCCAUUGGGAAGAGUCACAAGAUAAGGUACAGUUAAGGGUGUGAUAUUAAAGAGUAAACCUUUAUUAGAUGUCAUAUGGUCAGAAGCUCCUGAGUCUAUUAUCCAAGAAAUAGAGUUGAUUUGAGUAAGCAUACAGAGUUUGGAAGCAGAAACAUGAUUCUCAGUUAGCAUAGUACCAGCAAAGUUGUAUCCAAGAAAUAGAGUUGAUUUGAGUACGCAUACAGAGUUUAUAAUCAGAAACAGGAUUCUCAGUUAGCAUAGUACCAGCAAAGUUGGAAGUACACAUGGGAGUGAGAGCCUAUUGGAGUCUCCCAACUGAGUCUGUUGAAGCAAAGUCAUCAAUUGAUAAUAUUGUUGUCUGCUCAAACCUGGAACCACAGAACCUUGUUCAUCAACAUUUGGAACAGAUUGGUGACCCUCAGUGGAAUUACCAGUAAGAUCAGAUGUGUGCCCUUCAGAAAGAUUGAAGUGAUUACCAGUAGUUACAUGAGCACCAGGAGUUUUCCUUCCUUUGUUAAACUUGAGGUUUUGUGGAUACCCAUGAAGCUUGUAACACUUAUCAAUUAAGUUCCCAGACUUCUUGCAGUAUCUACAGAAUAAAGACCCCUUGGUCUGAUCAAAACUGACUCUUUGUGUAUAUUUGUCUGAGAGAAGAAGGAUUAGGUACUGCAGCUUGAUUCAUUCCAAAAGAAGAUGCAGGAUUUUUAUUUGUAUUAACACUGAAAGACAUGGGAUCAGGAUUAAAUUAAGAGUUGGAUUGGACUUGUCUUUGUUUCUCAUCAUUGAGGAGAAUGUUAUACACACUGUCAAGACUAGGGGGAGGUUGCAUCAUCAACAAGUUGCUCCUUACCCCCAUGUAUGUCUCAUUAAGGCCCAUGAGAAAUUGGAACACCUUAUUUUCCCCAUCCUCUUGUAUGAUCCCAUUUUUGGCAGCACAAAUGCACCUUUGGCCAUGAUUUAUACACUCUACUCCCAAUUCAUCCCAUAACCCUUUGAGUUUGUUAAAAUAUGAUGCUAUAUCUAGAGAACCUUGAGAAGUAUGAGUAAGUUCUCUUUUGAGUUCAAAAAUUUUAGUCCUAUUAGCACUACCAUAUCUGUCUUGCAGUUGUG
rnacentral:lncRNA from 1 species